UAAAAACUUUCCAUGUAAUUUCAGUUAACAAGCAUCAUGAAAAUAUUAAAACCGUGCACGCAUCUCAUGCCCUAUAUUCCAUAUUAUCUUCAGAAAUCAUCCAGUGGUUGAGUGACAGACAAAAGACAGGCAUUUAUCAGUCAUCAGUUCCUGUGUUUGAGUGAUUGACGUGAAUUUGAUCAGUCACGUAUUCCUAGAGAAGAGAAUGAGAACUGUUAGAGAAGUGAAUGUCAGUCAGUCAUCGCCGGUGUUGUGUCUCAGGGGCUGAUGUUGGCUACAGAGGGAGCCAAGGUCCUGGAGUUUUAACUGGUGACCCCGAGUGUAAGGUGCUGAUGCUGCUGCUGGAGUCUGGUUUGUACGAGGUGUUGAUGAAGAUGCUGCUGACGGAGCUGAGUGUGUGACAGAGCUGCUGUGACGGUGGUUGUGGUCAGCGCAGGGUAUCCGGCCUCAUAUGAGAAGGGUCUGGAGAUCACCGGUGUCAGAGAUGGGCAUUCAGGUGUUUCACGCUGGCACUGUGCUGAAGGAAGGGGCGGGGUUAUGACGAGUGGUGGGCGUGUCCUGAGAGUGACUGCUGUCCGGCCCACCCUCGAGAGUGCCUUACGUAUCACUAAUGAAGGAGUGAGCUGCAGCAGGGGACUGUCGUAUAAGGACAGCGGUGUGGACAUCGCAGCGGGGAACAGACUCGUGGAUCUGAUCAAACCUCUGACCAAAGCCACGGCUCGUCCAGGUCUGUCCAUCUCUCAUCACGCUGAUGCUCCACUUUUCUUUUAUUCACUUUUAUAACAGUUGUCUUUUUUUCUCAUGUGCUGAUGAUUGAUAGCCGAUUAAUCUUCCUGUUGACUGCAAGAAAACGGUAAACUUUGUGAGGUUCUUUGAUGCAGUUUUUUCUCACAGGAGUUCAAAGCUUGAUCUGGUUUUUCAGUGUCAAUCAUCUUUCUGUCGAUUAGCUUUCACUCAAACUGCAGACUCACAGAACAAAGCUCUUUUAAACCUGUUUAUGGCACGAGAGGGGAGUUUAGUGGGUCUUUAACACUUCUGUCGUCUCACACAUUUCACAUGUUAUUUCACGCUUAUCAAGUCUCUGAUUUGAGUGACACAUUAAUAUUGUUUGUUUUUUUACUAAACGAGUCCUAAAAAUGAAUUGGAUUAUUUCUAAAAGCAGAACACACCAUGAGACAGAAAAAGAAACCAUGCAAAAUA